rnacentral:lncRNA from 1 species
GUUUACAGCUGUUGAUGCAUACAUUCUUUUGUGAAUUAUUUAGUUGAACUUUUAACAACAAUAGCGCAUCAACAAACAGCAGGUAUAUGUGAACCAGGCUUCACUUGGUUGAAUAGUUAACUGGAACUCACCCCCUGGAAGUUGCAUUGUGACACAUGUAACAACCUCUUUCUAUUAUAGUAUAUGCCUAGUUGUGUUACACGUACUGGCCACAUGACAUCCAUGAUUUGAUAAAUAAAGAAAUUGAA